GUGUGGGGAGAGGGAUGUGGUCCCACCUGCUGCUUCCUCUCUGGCCCAGAAGUCUUCCUUGGGUGCAGUCACAGAGGUGUCUUUGGCUGUCACAGCUCUGGCUACUGAACAGGAAGUGCAGCAAAAAAGCCCCAAACAUAACUCCACGGAAGCACCCAGACCCCCCUUCCUCCCCUUCUCCUUCCCUACCCUAGCUUCACGCAUGCCUCCCUCCACCCCUGAGUUAACAUCCUGGGGGGUCCACUGUACGGGCCCCUGACUUUGCACCCUAACCGAGGACCUGACAUAAACCGUCUCCUGGCCUUGAUAUGAGCCCAAACUUCCUAGGGGUUCAGGCCCCCAGGGGGCAGGAAGCCUGGCAGGGGUUAGGAGAGGGAAGGUGGAGGGUGGGCGAAGAUUUCAGUCUCUCUGGGGUAUGUGUGGGGACCUGGGCAGUCUCCCAACCCCUCCUGGAUCUACUCACAGACAAACCUUGGGGCUUCCGGUGGGACAUGAGCUCGGGUGAGCCCAGCUGGAGACAGCGUCUUGUGCCCCUUAGGGAUACUGGAGCCCUGUCCUGCUUGAUCCUUACAAGUCCAGGGACAGAAAUCUCCAUCCCUCACCUUCCACUGCGAGUCAGCCUCCUUUGCCCCUGGUCCCCUGUCACUGGCGACAGGAGGCAAAAUCCUGAUCAUCCAGGAGGCCGAGACAAGGUGGAAGUGGGACAGGCGCUGGCCAGAGUUAAGAAUGGGGGAGGCUCGGGCCCCUGAAAUUGGUCCUCAGAGAAGCAAGGGGGAGUUUUCUUAUUUUCUCUACUUCCUCCUUCCUUCUAUUUCUCUCUCCAGGUCAUUACCCCCCAACAGCUGAUGUAUCUCUGCUCACUCUCAUCCACCCCUUGUUUCUUGCCUCCCUGCCUGCCUGUCCCUCUGGGACAGUCCUGGUCCAGGGCUCCUCCAUCUCUCAGCCCUGGGAUAGGAGAGGCAUCCUGGCCCCGCAGCCCGGCUGGAUGGCGUUAUGGGAAUGGCACGCCCGUGUCACAGUUUCAGUGCCUCGUCUGUGCGUUUUCCCCCUUUGGCCCAGGCAGGCCUGGGAUAAUGCAGGACAGCAAUGCAUAGUUGCUGGAUGAAUGUGCCAGUGAGCACAUCCUAGUCUGCCUGAGGCUCUGGGGCGGGACGUGGCUCUUGGCGAGACAGACAGGGACUCCGGGCGAGGAAGACUCUUAGCCUCACCCCAGGGCAUGAUGGGAAGGCCGGGCCACUUCUCCAGGAAGCUUCCCAGAUGAACCUGCUUAGGUUUUCUGCCCCUCUCUCCUCCUCUCUCCAAAAUGCACACCCACACCUAUGCCCUCGCCUGGGUCAGUGCCCUCUCUCUUUGUGCAAUCCGUGGCUUGGUGGAAAGAAUUUCUGAGGGUCCCAGAACUGGGGACUGGGAAGCUGAGAGUAGACUGGGAAGGGCUGCGGCCAAGAAGGGGGACCAAUAGCAAGGAUGGAGACAUUAAAAACCGUGCCUGUGAAGCUCCCUCCACGUGCCAGGCAGGCUGUGGAGGCACGGGAGAGGCACUGACCCGGGGGAAGGUGUUUGGGGCAGUGAGCAAAGGCUUGAAGGAAGAGGAAGACGUGUCCAGGAAGGGUGUGGGGAGGUUCUUUCAGGCUAAGAUGGCAGCAAACCUUUCGUGUAGGACGGUGACGAUGACGGGAGCCAGCCAGCGUGGCUGGGGUGUCAGAGGUGCUACGGAGCUCAGGGGAGCAGCAGCGUCCUCGGGGACCCAGGAGGGCUGCAAUGCAGGCAUCUCAUCACUUGGCAUAAAGUUCUUCAGUGGCUCUCCGUGGAUUAAGGCCCUGCCCAUUCCCACCCCCACCAAACUGGCCCCGUUUCCCUGAACCUGACGAGCGACAUCAUGUGUCCGUGCUGGCGCAGAUACAGAACAUUUCCAUCGCCGCGUACAAUUCUAUCAGCCAGUGCCGAUCUGCAAAGAAGGCAUCCGAGAUGGGCCAAGAGGCUGCAGAGCCCUGGAGGCUGUGAACUGGUCCAGGGUAGACCAGGGGGCAGCAUGGGGGUGCUGGCAGAGCUGGUUUCUGGUCUGGGCUCUGCUACUCACCAGCUGCGUGGUUUGGGGCCAAACGCUUGGCCUCUCUGGGCCUUAGUAUCUUGUAAAAUUAGAUUGUACUGGAUGAUUUGAAUUUUGUUUAAUUAAAAAUUUUUUUUCCA